rnacentral:rRNA from 1 species
UGCGUAGGCGGAAUAUUAAGUCAGUGGUGAAAUCCUGCGGCUCAACCGUAGAACUGCCAUUGAUACUGAUAUUCUUGAAUGUAGUUGAGGUAGGCGGAAUGUGUAAUGUAGCGGUGAAAUGCUUAGAUAUUACACAGAACACCGAUUGCGAAGGCAGCUUACUAAACUAUGAUUGACGCUGAGGCACGAAAGCGUGGGGAGCGAACAGGAUUAGAUACCCCUGGUAGUCC